UACGGGGGGAGCAAGCGUUGUUCGGAUUUACUGGGCGUAUAGGGCGCGUAGGCGGCCUGUGCAAGUCGGUUGUGAAAUCUCCGGGCUUAACUCGGAACGGUCAACUGAUACUGCUCGGCUAGAGUGCGGAAGGGGCAACUGGAAUUCUUGGUGUAGCGGUGAAAUGCGUAGAUAUCAAGAGGAACACCUGCGGCGAAGGCGGGUUGCUGGGCCGACACUGACGCUGAAGUGCGAAAGCUAGGGGAGCGAACGGG
rnacentral:rRNA from 1 species